ACGGGAGGCAGCAGUGAGGAAUAUUGGUCAAUGGGCGGAAGCCUGAACCAGCCAAGUCGCGUGAAGGAUGAAGGUAUUAUGUAUUGUAAACUUCUUUAGACGUAGAGAAAUAAGGGGAUCGUGAUCCCUGAUGCUAGUAUACGUAGAAUAAGGAUCGGCUAACUCCGUGCCAGCAGCCGCGGUAAUACGGAGGAUCCGAGCGUUAUCCGGAUUUAUUGGGUUUAAAGGGUGCGCAGGCGGCACGUUAAGUCAGCGGUGAAAUGUCGGGGCUCAACCCGGGCACUGCCGUUGAAACUGGCGAGCUUGAGUACGGAUGAAGUCGGCGGAAUGUGAUGUGUAGCGGUGAAAUGCUUAGAUAUGUCACAGAACACCGAUUGCGAAGGCAGCUGACUAAUCCGCAACUGACGCUCAGGCACGAAAGCGUGGGGAUCGAACAGGAUUAGAUACCCUGGUA
rnacentral:rRNA from 1 species